UGACCUCAAAUCGGGUGAGGCUACCCGCUGAACUUAAGCAUA
rnacentral:rRNA from 1 species